UUCCUGUUAACACCGGCACGCACAUACCGAGUGUGUAAAUGGUCAUGUGAUAUUUGUUGUCAGACUUGUUAAUAUGGACGCAGAUUAGUUCUGCUGUUGGAGCUAAAGCUCUUGUGUGGACGGAGAUCAUUUCUGUCUCAAAAAUCAGCUUAGAAAAAGAA